rnacentral:sRNA from 1 species
AUGUGCCACUCGUACACUCCGGUUUUGAGCCGUCCCCACGCCCCGAGCGAUUGCUCGCUGCGUUUUGCCAGGC